GAGACUCUAGUAAAAUAAAUACAUUACCUUGUCAAGGUAAAAUUGUUGGUUAAAAUCCAACGAAUCUUA
rnacentral:tRNA from 1 species